CAACCACUUCUUGAUGACAUUUUUCAUGUUAGGUGUGCAUGUCAUGUUUAUAAUUUAAUUGUUAAAAAUGGCCUUGAUUUAUUUUCAACUGAUAUUACCCAUUUAGGAGCAGUUGGUAUUAUUCAAGAAAAUAAUAAACAAUCCAGAAUAAAGGAAUUUAAGAAUAAGUGUGUCCAGUAUAACCUUAAACCCAGAUUCAUGCCAGACCUAGAAUAAAGAAAUUUAAGAAUAAGUGUGCCCAGUAUAACCUUAAACUCAUAUCAUGUCAGACGAAAUUGUUACUAGAUGAAAGUAUACAUAUAUAUUUUUAAAAUGCUACUACAAAUAUAGAUUCCCAA
rnacentral:lncRNA from 1 species